ensembl:lncRNA
GCCAUUACCGUCUAGAAGCCGGUAAGGCUUUGACUGUUAGAAGGACAGUUAAUAUGGUUGGAUGAUUUCAGUUUAGUUGCAGAGACCAGAAGCCCAAAUCAAGGUGUCUCCAGGACAUGCUCUCUCUGCAGACUCUAAGGGAAGGUCCUUCCUUGCUUCUUUCUAACUCCUGGUGGAUCUGCCGGCAAUCCUCGGUACUCCUUGGCUUGAAGACACCGCACUACGGUCUCUGCCUCCGUCAUGACAUCGUCUUGGCUCAGUGCGCUCUUGUCCAAAUUCCCUUCUUGUAAGGACACCAGUCAUUGGAUUAAGGCCUACCCUCCUCUAGAAAGACCUCACUUUAAUAUGACUAAUCAUCUCUGCAAAUACCUUACUUCCAAAUAAGGUCACCUUCUGAGGUUGUGGGUGAAUAUGCAUUUGGGGGGACACUAUUCAACCUAGUACAAAUGUCCAUAAGUCAUUAUUAAUUAUGUCUCAUUUUUAGGCUUUUUAACGUGCUUACGACCACAGGAGUAAUAAACAAAGAAUUCCUUUCUCUAGGUAAUAAACUCAG